UUUCUCAAUGGGGGAAACCCUGAAGGAGCGACGCCGCGUGGAGGAUGAAGGUCUUCGGGUUGUAAACUCCUGUCAUUUGGGAACAAUGCGCAAAUAUUAACUGUAUUUGCGUUGAUAGUACCAGAAGAGGAAGGGACGGCUAACUCUGUGCCAGCAGCCGCGGUAAUACAGAGGUCUCAAGCGUUGUUCGGAUUCAUUGGGCGUAAAGGGUGCGUAGGCGGCGCGGUAAGUCGGGUGUGAAAUCUCGGAGCUUAACUCCGAAACUGCAUUCGAUACUGCCGUGCUUGAGGACUGGAGAGGAGACUGGAAUUUACGGUGUAGCGGUGAAAUGCGUAGAUAUCGUAAGGAAGACCAGUGGCGAAGGCGGGUCUCUGGACAGUUCCUGACGCUGAGGCACGAAGGCCAGGGGAGCAAACGGGAUUAGAUACCCCGGUAGUCCUGGCAGUAAACGGUGCACGUUUGGUGUGGGAGGAUUCGACCCCUUCUGCGCCGGAGCUAACGCGUUAAACGUGCCGCCUGGGGAGUACGGUCGCAAGAUUAAAACUCAAAGAAAUUGACGGGGGCCGCACAAGCGGUGGAGUAUGUGGCUCAAUUCGAUGCAACGCGAAGAACCUUACCAGGCCUUGACAUGCAUUUCUAAGCGGGUGAAAGCCCGUGAGUCUCGAAAGAGAUAACUUGCACAGGUGCUGCAUGGCUGUCGUCAGCUCGUGUCGUGAGAUGUUGGGUUAAGUCCCGCAACGAGCGCAACCCCUGUGAACUGUUGCCACCGGCGCAAGCCGAGCACUCUGUUCAGACUGCCCUGUGAAACGGGGAGGAAGGUGGGGACGACGUCAAGUCAGUAUGGCCCUUACGGCCUGGGCUGCACUACGUACUACAAUGCCCAGUACAGAACGAUCCGAGACCGCGAGGUGGAGGAAACCUAUCAAAACUGGGCCCAGUUCGGAUUGGAGUCUGCAACUCGACUCCAUGAAGCCGGAAUCGCU
rnacentral:rRNA from 1 species